rnacentral:antisense_RNA from 1 species
AGACCCAAACCCCAGAGUCAUCCUUGAUCACCCACGAAACCCUGGGCCCAUUCCAGCAGCAAUUCCAUGCACUCCAGCUUCACAUGUGCCUUCAGGAUCUCCUUGCUCCUCCACUGCUCCCACUGCCUCCAGCCUCCACUGCCUCAAAUCUGGGCAUAUGCAUGGCCUCCUCGCUGGCCCCAGCAGCUAGCUGCCUUUGACCUCCUACAGUCUGUUCUCAGCCAAAAACCAGAGAGAACCACUUAAAAUGUCAGGCAGAUCAACACCUAAAUUCAAACAUUCACCAGCUCCCUAUUUCACUCAGAGCCUAAGGCUGAAGCUCUUCCUCUCAGGCCUCGCCUGCCACCCCCUCCUUGUUCAGCUCCAGCCACGUGGGCCUCCUGGCUGCUCCUCCAACGUACCAGGCACACUUCUGCCCAAGGACUAUGCCCCGUGGCCUGCAACACCACCCCAGCAGGCCACCGGCCCCUCUCCCCUCCUUCCAGCUCUGCUCACAUAGCACUCACUCUGCAAGGCCUCCCGGACCAUCUUCAAAACUGCACCCCCACCGCCCACCCCUGCUUUCCUUUGCGCCUUAGCACUCCCGAUCCUCUCCACGCCCACUAUAACUCACUGCUGUGUUUUGUUUAAGUCUGCCCCAACUGGGCUCUACCCAUGGGGGCAGGAAUUUUCAUCUGCUUUGUUCACUGAUACUCAAAGUCUUGGGCAGGAGGAUGUGGUUGCGGCCCCAUCGGAACAGAAUCUGCAGUUGGCACCUGAUUGUUCCCUCAGACUGGAAUGCACUCCCUGCUCCCUGAGCCUGACAGCAUGGGGUGGGCCCAGGUCAAAGCCCUCCUCCAAGUCUUCUCCAGCCAGCUUGCUUGCUUGCUCUGUUCCCUCCAGGCCCUGCACUCAACACCCUCCACUGUUCCUCCUGGUCCAUACCUGGGAGUCCCAUGAUGCAGCCUGCAUUUAAGGUGCUGUAGUCAGGUAUGGCUGGGCACCUUUAAACUGUCCUACAGAGCCUGGCACCUGGGCUCGACUCACUGGUGGAAGUUCUCACACAUGGAGUCUGGCAUUCUUUCGCCAAGAAAAUGCAUUAAAAACCAAGGUGGCAUUAAAAACCAAGGUGGCAUUAAAAACCACCUUGUCUUGGUAAGAGCUCCUCGUGACAAGAAAUGUAUGCAGCUCUAGCUGUUCCGUGGAGCCAUUAUCUAGCCCCAGAAAAACCUGCUGUUGACUUUUCUGAGAAAUCAGUUCUUGGAAGCCCUUAGAAUAAAUAAGAUAAAAUUUGAGACAUGCCUGCCUUCCUCAGGGCCCGGUACAUAAGUGUGUUACUUUCCUCCUUCUGAGUCCGAUUCUAAAAGCCAAGUUUCUCUCCUUCUUGGCUCCAAAUAGCAAAAAGCCAUCAACCUUUUCCUCCUUGCCCUCUAGGAAACCCUGUUACCAUAGCAGAAAGAACAUGGGUUUCAGAUCCAUAGGAAUUGGGUUCAAAUCCCAACUUACCAGCUAUGGGAUUUUGAGUAAGAUCAUUAAUAUCUUUGAGCCUCAAUUUCCUGUUCUGUAAAAUGGAAUUUUGCAGUGAUGCAGGAUUAGCUAUGAUAACAUAUCAAAAAAAGCAUGUUGGCAGCACUCAAUGAAAAUUUGCCAUUUAUAUUUAUUGUUAUGAUGGAUAUUAUUCCCCCAGAACCUACCUGCCUGUUACCAUCCCUCGGGCCAGCCUGCAGGGUCCAGGCGGAGAUGACAUUGAAGGCCUUGACCACUGUGCAGGUGGGGAAGAGGGAGGCCAGGUACUCAGCAUUGGACUCACGAUGCUGAAGGUGCUCUUGCUCUGUAGGGUUGCUCACAUCCACCAGGAUCUUGCCCGCCAGCUGGUCACUGAGACUGCACAGUGAAGAGUAGUGCUCCCGGAACACAGCCACAAAGAUGACCUCCGGGGAGCUCACUGCCUCCUCCUGGAAAGUCACUUGGGCCGCUGAGGGGAACAGCCCGGCUGUGCGUUUGGGGUUGCGGCUCCCCACCACCACUUUGAAGCCAGAGCCCACCAGGCGUGUGGCCAGGGAGCGGGCAAAGUCCCCGCUACCCAGGAUGCCCACUUUGGGGGCCUCAUCGGGGACCUUGGCAAGGCUGCUAUCGCUGUCCACCAGGUGGAGGCUGAUCAGUGGCUUGUCCAUCUCUUCUGGCAUUUUGGUGGCUGCAAGAGAAGUCAGGAACCUGGUCAGUGGAGGGCUCCUGGACUGCCCUUUCUGCCACCUCCCUCCUCUUAUACAUCGUAACUACAUGGCAGUCAGACAUUCACCCAGCAGGUGUUCACCGAGUGCUACCACGUGUCAGCACCAGGGGAACAAGCUGAGCACAACACAGCCCCUUCCCUGGGGAGAGCACAGACUCAGGAAGAGCAGGGAGGACUUCUGCCCUCCACCCUUUGUCCCUCCUGCUGAAUUAUUUCCUUGGGAAAAACUGGCAGAGUGAGAGUGCUGGGAAAGGGGACUCUGGAAUUUCCAUGACCAAUGUGAUGCAGUGCCAUACUUCUUUUCAAAAGGAUUAGGCAAUCGACAGUGUCACUAGCCAGGAGUGACCAUCUAACCCCAACCUCACCAUCGCUGGGUGUUUGAUGACCAGGAAGCGUGAGCAUGUCCCUAUGCUUGUCUACAUUUUGCAUCUUGGAGCGGUUCUUCUUAUGCACUCCCUGAAGCAUGGUGAACAGCUUGAGGGCAGGACCUCAUCUCAUCUGACCUUGGAGCUCACUGGGUAUCAUAUCCUGGCACGGAGGCAGUGCUCAGUGUUUGCUGAAUGAAUGAAUGAAUGAAUACCAAACCCUGAUCUCUGAGGGCAGGACUGAGAGACAAGUGAAUGGGCCCCUAAGGUAGAGUGGGUGCCCUGUGAUCUUCUUUGCUGAGCCCAAGAUAUGAGUGGAUGUGGAGGAAACCCUGAACUCGGGCCAGCAGUCUACAGUAAACUUGGAUGGAAAAAUUAUUAUAUAUUAAUUGUCACCAACUUCUAACUAAAAUUUGCUAUUUCCUUUAAGUAUGAAGGUAGGCAACAUAAUUUUUCAUUAAUGCUGACCAAGAUCAUAUCAUAAAUUUACCUGUAAAUAAUUUAUCCUAAUACCAUUUAAAUUGAGCACAAAUUUAAAACUAUGCUAGCCAGGUGCAGUGGCUCACACCUAUAAUCUUAGCACUUUAGGGGGUCAAGGCAGGAGAAUCGCUUGAGGUCAGGAGUUCAAGACCAGCCUGGGCCACAUAGGGAGGUCCCAUCUCU